UUGUCACUAUCUUUUCUUUCUUUCUCUCUCGUCCCCUUUCUGUUAUUAUUCAGAAACUCUAUUGUGUGUGUUGUGCCAUUUAUUUUGCAUCUUUGUUAAUCUUCCGUUCCUCCCUCUUUCUCUUCCUUCUUUGUUCGAUUUUUUUUUUCACUUUGGUUUUUAUAUUGCUUUUGACGAAAAAAAGGUGUGACCUUUGUCUUUUUUAUUCCUUUUUUUUGUCUAAUUUUUUCUGGUGGGACAGGCUAACGGCGGUGUUGAAGGUCACGACGCUUUGCCCAUGCAAGGGCAUUCUUUGUUCGAUUUUUUUCCCCUUUGAUUUUUAAAUUGCUUUGGAUGGGAAAAAGGUGUGACCUUUGUCUAAUUCCGACGAGGUUCCACGGAAAAAAAGGUGUGACCUUUUGCAGCAAUAUCACUCACGGGGCAGUGUUGAAGACUAAAGGUUCCAUUUUUAUUUAUUUUAUUUCUUUUUUUUGUCUAAUUUUUUGUGGUGAUUUUUGGGACAAGCUAACGGUGGUGCUAAAGGUGACAGCGCUUUGCCAUGCAAGGGCCUUCUUUGUUCGAUUUUUUUUCGCUUUGGUUUUAAUAUUGCUUUGGACGGGAAAAAGGUGUGACCUUUGUUUGAUUCCGACAAGGUUCCAUGGAAAAAAGGUGUGACCUUUUGCAACAAUAUGAUUCACGGGGCAGUGUUGAAGAAUAAAGGUUCCAUUUUUAUCUAUUUUUUUGUCUAAUUUUUUGUGGUGAUUUUUGGGACAGACUAACGGCGGUGCUGAAGGUGACGGUGCUUUGCCAUGCAAGAGCCUUCUUUGUUUGAUUUUUUUUUUCGUUUUGGUUUUAAUAUUGCUUUGGACGGGAAAGAGGUGUGACCUUUGUCUAAUUCCAACGAGGUUCCAUUUUUAUCUAUUUUCCCCUUUGAUAGAAAAAAGGUGUGACCUUUCACAACAAUAUGAUUCGCAGGGCAAUGUUGAAGAAUAAAGGUUCAAUUUUUAUCUAUUUUAUUCCUUUUUGUUGUCUAAUUUUUUGUGGUGAUUUUUGGGACAGGCUAACGGCGGUGCUGAAGGUGGCAGCGUUUUGCCAUGCAAGGGUCUUCUUUGUUCGUUUUUUUUUUUCGCUUUGGUUUUUAUGUUGCUUUGGACGGGAAAAAGGCUAAUCGCGGUGCUGAAGGCGACGACACUUUGCUGGAUUUGUUCUUUAUUUAUGAGAAUAUUUGUGAUUUUUCUUUUUUCCCAAGACACUUCUCUUUUAUGGAAGACUAAAAGUGUCAUUUUUAUCUUCCACCACGAAUCUAUUCCAAGCACACUAUUUUUCUUAUUUUUCCCUAAACCUAAUCAAUUUUUUUUCCUCAUUUUUUGUGGUCGAUUUUUGGGACAGUUUGUAAUGUUGUUGUAAAUCUAACAUGUUGAGGCAACCCUUCACAAGGCAAUAGAACAUUGUCAUCCAAACCUGUGUUGUUUCAUCCUCUGGCAUAGCCUUUAGCGGAUGGUGAAGCUGCAUCUGAGAAGGUGACAAACAGUUACCAUGUUCUAAGACAAAUAGAGUGAUGAUGACCCCAUUUUGAUUGAUGGAGAAAUUUUUAUGUUACUUUGUUUUAACAGUUUAAAGUCAUAAUUUAAUCAUUAUGAU